UGUGGGUGUCCCUUUAAAUUGUCAUGAAAGCAUCAGUUGUCCAAUCAGAUACAUGCAAGACUAUAUAAAAGGGGACUUUUAAUGCACCAUGUUGUGUGAUCACUGCUUGUGUGUCAUUGCCCGAGGCCUGCCCCUUCCUGGUUUAGACUCUUCCUGUCUCACAGUUUCCAACGUGUAAUCAUUCCAUGUGGCUCGGCGACUGCUUUUAAACAUGAACCCGCCGUAAUCCCGUGCCUUCUUGCCGGUUUGAUGUCCAUUUGCCUGUGCGGCUGGACUUGUGGUCGAAACGACAAUAUUAAGGUGGAAUAGUUUUAAGAGGAGUCAUUCAGUGCGGCCUGCGGGGCAACGUACUUUGAUGCUGCUGCUUUGUUUUUUACUCUGCUUUAACUUUGUAUGCUUUGUUUUUUACUCUGCUUUAACUUUGUAUGCUUUGUUUUUACUCUGCUUUAACUUUGUAUGCUUUGUUU